rnacentral:rRNA from 1 species
ACGUACGCUGGCGGCACGCCUAACACAUGCAAGUCGAACGAAGUAGCAAUACUUAGUGGCAGACGGGUGAGUAACAUGUAGGUAUCUGCCCUUUGGCCUGGAAUAACACGAGGAAACUUGUGCUAAUACCGGAUAAGUCUUUACGGAGAAAGCUUUAUGCACCAUUGGAUGAGCCUGCACUUGAUUAGUUUGUUGGUGGGGUAAUGGCCUACCAAGACUGUGAUCAAUAGCUGAUUUGAGAGGAUGAUCAGCCACAUUGGGACUGAGACACGGCCCAAACUCCUACGGGAGGCAGCAGUGGGGAAUCUUGCACAAUGGAGGAAACUCUGAUGCAGCGAUGCCGCGUGAGUGAAGAAGGCCCUUGGGUUGUAAAGCUCUUUCGUCGGGGAAGAAAAUGACUGUACCCGAAUAAGAAGGUCCGGCUAACUUCGUGCCAGCAGCCGCGGUAAUACGAAGGGACCUAGCGUAGUUCGGAAUUACUGGGCUUAAAGAGUUCGUAGGUGGUUGAAAAAGUUAGUGGUGAAAUCCCAGAGCUUAACUCUGGAACUGCCAUUAAAACUUUUCAGCUAGAGUAUGAUAGAGGAAAGCAGAAUUUCUAGUGUAGAGGUGAAAUUCGUAGAUAUUAGAAAGAAUACCAAUUGCGAAGGCAGCUUUCUGGAUCAUUACUGACACUGAGGAACGAAAGCAUGGGUAGCGAAGAGGAUUAGAUACCCUCGUAGUCCAUGCCGUAAACGAUGUGUGUUAGACGUUGGAAAUUUAUUUUCAGUGUCGCAGGGAAACCGAUAAACACACCGCCUGGGGAGUACGACCGCAAGGUUAAAACUCAAAUGAAUUGACGGGGACCCGCACAAGUAGUGGAGCAUGUGGUUUAAUUCGAAGAUACGCGCAGAACCUUACCAACACUUGACAUGUUCGUCGCGACUCUAAGAGAUUAGAGUUUUCGGUUCGGCCGGACGAAACACAGGUGCUGCAUGGCUGUCGUCAGCUCGUGUCGUGAGAUGUUGGGUUAAGUCCCGCAACGAGCGCAACCCUCACUUUUAGUUGCCAUCAUUAAGUUGGGCACUCUGAAAGAACUGCCAGUGAUAAGCUGGAGGAAGGUGGGGAUGACGUCAAGUCCUCAUGGCCCUUACGUGUUGGGCUACACACGUGCUACAAUGGUAUCUACAACAGGAAGCAAAACUGCGAAGUUAAGCAAAUCCCUAAAAGAUACCUCAGUUCGGAUUGCACUCUGCAACUCGAGUGCAUGAAGCUGGAAUUACUAGUAAUCGUGGAUCAGCGUGCCACGGUGAAUGCGUUCCCGGGUCUUGUACACACCGCCCGUCCAAGGGC